CUAUGGCCAUAUCACGUUGAAACACCGGUUCUCGGGCGAUCAUUGAAGUUAAGCAAAUAUGAACCUGGUUAGUACCUAGAUAGUAGGCCGCUUCGGAAUAUUAAGUGCUGUAA